GCGCUGCUGCUGUCUUCGUCGCAGCUCCUUGGCCAGGCGGCGAACGGCCGAGUCUGUUUCAAGCACGUGAUCAUCGACUUCCCUAAGAUACGCGGCCGAAAAGAAGCAGCGGCCGACGUUUAAAGUUCGAACUAUUUCGUCAACGGCGACGCUCCGCAUUGACAACACUGCAUCAGUUGUCCAACGGCCAUUGAACAUUCGAGAAGUCGAAGGACCGCCGUCAUGGCGGCAACUUCAUUCGCAUUAUGCCAACUUCCCCAGUGAGCCCAACUGGUCGGCCGAGCAGAACUUGACAGUGUGCAGCACCAACAGGUGACCAGUGGGAAGCCCGGAAGGCAAGCCCAGGACCUCAGGAACAGCUAGGGCUAGCGCACAGGGCCAGGCUGUCAGCACGGGGCCACGGCUACCUGGAAUCGGGUGGCCACCCACUUUCGGUCAUUAGUAGCUCGGUCUCCGCAAUAAAGUUUAUUUAUUCACUCA